rnacentral:lncRNA from 1 species
GGGUUCUAUAGUAAAACCCUCCCUUCUUUCUACCCCCCAAAAUAGCCCUUAAUAGACCCCAAUGCACAAACGAAAGAUUGAUGGCUCACCUAGACAUAUUAGUCUACCAUUUUACGAAAUCCUAAGUCAAUCUGACAAGCAGUUUUGGAGAAACGCUGCGCACAAGUUCAUUUUUUAAAGUGGCGGAAGAGGAAGAGGAAGAAGAAGAAUAAUAAAAAUAAUAAGAACUGACCAAAAACAAUAAGUCUCCAAACUUUGUUUGGG